UGGAUUUGACAUCUCGGGAAUUUUUAUGAAAGUAGAAAGUGCCUCUUUGAGGAGCCUGAAGAC
rnacentral:rRNA from 1 species